AAAUUGGCACUGCAAGAAAUUUGUAUAUAUUAUAAAAAAAGAACACAUAAAAAUUAUAUAAAAAAAAGUACCUUAUACCUUUUUAAAAAUGUUGGCAAUCGUUUCAGGUUUAACCAUCCACCAAGCACGUUUAAUCAAUUGAAUCGCUGUCAAUAAGUAGAACGAUUUCUUAAAUUCUUCAAUCGUGUUUCCUUUUUCAAGAGCAAGAAGUUGCUUCCUUCAAUCAUUUGGCGAUAAUAUGCUUUAAAAGCAUGGAUAAUGCCUUUAUCAAGCGGUUGCAUAAUUGAUGUGGUGUUUGCCGGCAGAUAAAACAUUUCCCCAUUUUUUUAAAGAUACUGGCUUGUGAGGAGCGGCAUUAUCGAUGAAUAAAAAUACCUUCCUGUUUUGACUUUGCAUCUCCUCGUCAAAGAAAGUUAGAAUAGAGGUCCAUAUAUCUUGAGUCAUCCAUGCAAGGUCUUAUUUUUGAAACAUCGUAGAUUUUUUGGUUUUCCAAUCACGAAAUUUGUUUUUGUUUCGCCAGAUGCAUUGCAAAAAAAGCAGACCGUCAGCCGCUCCUUUGAUGACUUAAAUCCUUUUGAGUUAUCACCACUUCUGGUUAAAGUUGACCUAGGCAAUGCUUUAUAGAACAUGUCACUUUCAUUAGCGUUGAAUAUGUCCUUAGCGCUGUAAUUCUGGAUUAAAUUGGGUAGCAAUUCAAAAAAGUCACUGGCGCUUUUAAUAUUCGCAGAUGCACCCUCUCCAUGAAUUUGUUUCACGGUUUUGCCACCGGUACAGCCAACCAAGAGUGGGCAUCCAUCUUGACGGCCAAUUGUUGAGCUUUUUCCCGGACCAUAGUGCCUGAUAUUACUGCGCCAGAUGAACGCAUUUGAUUAAACCAAAUAGUUACAGCACGAUCAAUUUCUAUUGAGUUGCUAUAUCUGUUGCGCUUUCUGUUCAAAUUUUUCAAAGUACUUUGCGCAGAAAGUCUUUCUUUUUCACGGAUUAUACGAUUAAUUGUUGAUAUCGAACAUUUAUAUUUAACACAGAGUUCGCUUUUGCACGUAGAAAGAAUUUGCCUUUUUGUCGGUAAUUUAAUGUUGUACACUUAAGGCCUUACUAUAAUAUGCAUAAGCUGCCGUAUGUUACUGUCAAAAAAUGAACGAAAAGCCUGUCAAAUGCAUAACGAAUGGAGAGUAGACUUUUGAAUGACUAUAAUGUGCUUAAAUGCAUAAGAAGAAAGUGUCAAAAACAACUUGUGUUUUGGUUUUGUUUAGUUUGCAUUUUGCAAAAAUGAACAGAAUAUUAAAAUAUUUAAAAACAAUUAAAAUGCUUACUUCUGUUUUAGAAGGAAUACGCAUAUUGACAGAAAUUAGUGAAAUUAAAAAAUAGAGUUCGGUCAUGUUCAGUGAGGGAAAUAAACAGGAAGAGAAAGUAGGAUAGUUUUUUUGUACGAUUCCUAGAAAUGAAGAGGACUGAUCAUAUAGAUUUUUUUAUAUACACCCGAUUGAAAGAAAAGGCAUAUUGUUUGUCGUAAAAACAUUUCCUUUUUCAAUAUUUUCCAUUAAAUUUUGUAUAAAACAUUCGUCGUUCUCCAUCUUCAAAUUCAAAACGAUGUAUCUGUUGACAAAAAGAGAAAACAGCUGAUUCCGUACGGAACAUGCGAUCAGUUUCGCAUUUUGCUUAAGCAAAUGACGUUUGACAAAACUUAACGAAACUUGAUGUUAAGCACAUUAUAGUUGCAACAUACAAUUUGUGUGUAUUCGGACAGUUGCUUACGCUGGCUUAAGCUAGCUUAUUCACAUUAUAGUUAGGCCUUUACUCAUUUUGACAUUAAUAACGAUGUGCAAAGUAGAAACAUCGAUUAUUAUAUCGAUUACAUAAUAAUAAAAGUGCUGCCAUAUCAUAUUAGGAUUUUCAAAGCAGUAAAAAAUAUCUUUGUUUUUGUGACUGCGCUUAUAUAGGUAAUUUUUAUAGGGAAAUUUUAGGCUGAAAACAUAAUUUUCGGUGCUUAUAUCCGAGUUGUGCUUAUAAGCGGAAUGCAUAUAUCGAAAAUUUUUGUGUAUAUUUUAAAUGCGGAAAUUAUAUGUUUUUAUUUUUAGUGCUUAUAAAAGAGUUGUGUUUAUAAGCGAGGUGCAUAUAUCCGAUAAAUACUGUAAUAAUAAAUUGUAGAGGAAAGAAAAUAUAAUGUAUCCAAAUUAAGUGAACAUUUAUCUUAGUAAUCCCAAUGACCACCGUUAUUUUAUGUUGGUUUCAUAAACCGUUGCCGCAACGAAAGAUCAUACUUUUAUACAAUUAUUUAUGCUUUUAACCAAGUCUAUACAACAAUUUUGAGCUUAUGAGCGUUUUCCAGUUGAAGGAUUAAAUCCUCGACAAGCAGACGCCUGUCUUCACAUAUAACGAAGCUUUAAAUUAAAUAUAGCUUCGUUUGAGAAUUAACUUUGGGAUCAGGGAAAAUUGUGUAAAGCAUAUACAUACAUACAUAUAAAAUAAAUUAAAACAUGUAAUAUAAAAACAUAAAAAUAUUUCUAGUUCUAUAGUAGUACCGUAAAAGCGGUAUAAGCGGUUAAAAUAUUAGUUUGAUAUAAUAUAUUUAUGAAGUUUGGAUUUGUGACGUCAAACUUAUUUUUCGCCAUUUGAACGCACGUUUUUCUGACUCAUGUUAUUACUCCGGAAUUUGAAGAAAAAAAUAAAAUAAAUAAAGAAACAUGUUUCUGGAUCAUUUCAUUGGCUUUUAGGUUACUCAGGAUAUCCACUGGAGCCAUGGCUUCUAGACCAAACUCAUCUGUACCAAAUGAGGUUCUUAUAGCAAACUCCAUAUAACGCCAGGAACUUAAUUGAAAAAGCCUUGGGGUUUUAAAGUCUCGUUUACGGUACCUAUCUAAAGAGCGAGUUGUGGGGUACACACCAUCAAUUUGUUUUAUUCUUGUGCAAUUUUCCAUAAUAUUUUGCAAAAACAUGGCAUUUGUGACUUCAAUGAAGACGACAUUGAAAACUCAUCUUUCGAUGAUAACUCUACAGCUCAAACAAACCGCAGGAAUAAGUGGACGACGUAACUACCUAAAUUCUCUAACACACUAUUUACAAAUCUUUAAUUUAGUCUUCUAUUUUAAUCGAUUGUCCAGUGAGAUUUCAUGGCAUUUCAUCGUUUGACAGUGAAGUUAUUGCGUUUUAAGUGCCAGUGUGUUUGUGUUAUCGGUGUGAAAAUGAGCUUCGAACACAGAGCCAACAUUAAAUUUUGUUUUAAAAUUGGUAAAACUGUUCCGAAACGUUUCAAUUAAUGAAACAAGUUUAUGGCGAUGAUUGACUAUCCCGUAGCAGAGUGCACGAGUGGUUUCAACGUUUUGAAAAUGGUCGUGAGGACAUAAAUGACGAUCACCAUGAGGGCCAAUCAAAAUUCAUGAUCACCGAAAAUUCCAUCGAAACUGUGCGUGAAUUCAUCAAAAAUCAGCCGAAAUCAUCAUUGAAAUUCAUGAAAAUGGAAUUGAGUUGAACAUUUGGGCUUAUGAAAAGUGUGAGCACGGUUUGUUCUGCACAAAUUGAUUGCCGACCAAAAAUUGCUCAGAAUCCAACAUUCGAAGGACCGGUUGUGACCGAUUAUUUGACCAAAAAUCACAUUGGAACCAUUAACCACUCCCCGUAUUCACUUGAUAUGGUACCGUGCGCCUUCUUCCUUUUCGGAAAAAUGCAUUUGCCCAUGAAAGAAAAGCGGUAUGCAGACGCAGAGGUCAUCUAAGAAGCUUGCACCGGCAUACUGGCAUCCAUACCGGUCAACGAGCUAAAACACUCGUUGGGCAUGCUUUUGGAUCGUGCAAAAAGCUGUACUGAAACAGUAGGAGACAAUUUUGAAAAAAAAUUGCUUUUGCAGAAAAAAAAAAACAUUUUUUAUGUUUUUUAUGUUUUUUUUUUAAAUCCUGUUUACUCUGGAAUGCACCUUGUAUAUUUAAACAACUUAAGAUAAAAUUUUUUUGGCCAAAAACCAAUUGAUAAUUCGCUCGUUCCAAUGAUGUGGUUGGCCGUGGGGAAACGGUCGGCGCAAUUAUCCCACAGAAAUAUUAAAUAAAUAAAACAAAAUGUUUCAUAUAAUAUAUAUAAUUUAAUUAUAAAAAUGUGGAAACACACUUACCACGUCUGUAUAGCUGAGCUGUCGCUCACUUCACUUUUCUCCAAUUUUUUAGUGUCACUCACUGCACUUUGUAUUAAUUUUUGUAUUUUUUUUUUUUCACUCGCGAAACUGCAGCUGCGUUAUUGCUGCUUGCCUUUAUUGCUAUUCGAGCAAUAUAUGGGAAGGCAGAGUUGAGCGACUAGACUCAAAUUAAACCACAAGGAAAAACAAAAACCCGAGAGAGAUUGUUGACGCUCCAGACGAUUUUGUGCGUCCAAGAAAUUUAUAACUUUUUCUCGAAUAACAGAUUGUGGUUUUUUUUGUAAAGUGAAAUAGUGCAUUUGCCAGGUGUAUUUGCUGUUGUACUUAAAUGAAGUACAAUACUACCUGCAAUCUUGUGCUUUGAUUUUGUGGGUAGAGUGCCAAAAAUAAGUUUUGGUCUCCACUUCACACAGCACAAUGGGUUUUGUACAUAAAUGAUGCACAAAUUAACCAAUCUAUUGCCUUUAGCUUGCAGAGCACAAAUCCAAAAUAUGUUUGGCUGUAACUUGCGAGUUGCUAAAGCGGGCAAAUUAUGCACUUUCACUUUAAUAAAAAAUCGACUUGUUACCUGUUAUCCGGCUCGAAGGACCAAUGAUAAUUCGGGUGGUGGAGCACGGUGCUCGCUCGUUCCAAUGAUGUGGUUGGCCGUGGGGAAACAGUCGGCACAAUUAUUCCACAGAAAUAUUAAAUAAAUAAAACAAAAGGUUUCUUAUAAUAUAUAUAAUUUAAUUAUAAAAAUUUGGAACCACACUUACCACGUCUGUAUCGCUAGGAUGUCGCAAAAGGGGAGAGCGCGCAACUAUUUAGUUAGUGUUUAGUUGCGCGCGAAUUAAAACUUCGAAAAAGAGAAAAAGAAAAGAUUGAUCUGCCGAUACAGACGUGGCAAAAGAAAUUGGGCGGGGGCGGCGUCAACACCAAUGUUUUUUUAGAAUUUUUUAAAAAAUUUGUAAAAUUUUACACUUUUUUUUGAAUUUUUUUAGUUUAACUUGAACUAGUUAUAUGAAUAUCUUUGAAUUUUUUGUUUCCGAUAGAAAUUGUUACCUGCAUCCUGCCCUCCGUCCGACAAAUGCACAUGCGAGAUGCAUCGGGCAAUUGCUUCCAAAAGGCAGAAUAUCAAAGAUUUCGUAUCCAAACAAUUUGUGAAUGAUGUUUAAAUAUAUAACUAUAAAAACUAGAAUUUUCGCUUUAAUAAAUAUUGUUUUAAGCCGCAAAGCAGGCUCCCUCCUUAAGUGAAUAGUUAGAUAAGAUUGCGGUUGCGAGGGUCGUAUUUAUUUAAAUUGAAGUGAAGUGUGCAGUGGCAAGUUGAAAUAACUAUUUUGCAAAUAAACCAUUAGAAAUUAGUUUUUCACUUUUCCUUCGGAUUUGAAAGUUCCAAAAAAACGAUUAAUUUGUUGUAGGCGAUCAUAAUAAUUAUAAUUUCAGAAUCUUUUUUUCAUUAUAAUUUCACUUAAAUACAUCAGAACUACUAUGUAUAAAUACAUACUGUUCAAAUAUGUUCAAAUAUCAUUGAACAUGCUUACUUGUUUGGUGUCUACUACACAUAAACAUGUAUACAAAAUCAAACACAUACAGUCCACUAAACAUAAAUAUCUACCCUGCCAGCCACGGCUAACCACUUUUCUCAAAUAUUUCAAUACAAUUACACAUUUUUUCUCUAUGCACUAACAGCAUAUAUUGGAAUUGCUUAUCACUAUUUGUUUAUGCGUGGGUCAGCAUAAACAAGAGAUGUUUUGGUUAUUUCUGUUUAAUGAAAUGUUCCUUAACUCUCCCCUGUGUUAGAGCGCAAACAGCGAAUUCCACAAAACCGUGGCCCGAAUCAGCUGAUACGACCUAUCUUAUGGGAACGCAAAUUAAAUGAUCAGCCAACACCUCUUCUACCGCCCACUUCAAAGUAAGAUACCGUAUACUUCCACGGCAUUUGGAUUUUUCCCGUAGAAACGUGCCAGCUGAUUGUUCUCUCACAACGCAGGGUUACCGUCUCGCUAUACUGUAGUAAUUAUAAAAAUUGCGAAAUUGUUGAAAUUUUCUUAUACUAACUCAAAACCAGAGUCGAAUGCUUGUUUAGAAAUAUACAUAUAAACUAUUUUUAAUAGUUUGGUUUCAGUUUUCAUAUUUUAUAUUAUGAAAAAUUGUAACUGAAAACUUAGAUGUGUACAAAACUAUACGAGUACUAGAGGACCCGCCUACGUUUUACUGUGGCUGAUACAUAGGUAGUACUACUAAUACCAUCUAUAUGAUUUCUAUUAGUUAGAUUAUAAGUAUUAGUUAAGGAGUAAUCGCAUUUUUGAUGGAGCAACAAAAAUGAAUCAAAAAGCAUUUCGUGCGUUAAGAAAGAAUUGGUUUUUGGGGUAAAAAUACUAUUGAAUUUGGGCUAUGCAUCAGAGAAAUCAAUCGAGUCCAAUCGAUUGUCAGCCUGGUGGACUGCAUAUUAAGAAACGGUUCUCAAGCGUGGGAAGACAAAAAAUUCGGCUGCAAGGUUAUGGCAUCAGUCUUUUGGGAUGCCCGUGGUAUAUUAUUCAUCGACUGAUAAAUGAGCCAGUUUUAAUUCAUUGCAUUGUGUAUUUGAUUGCAGUUCUAUUCUACCAUUCCCAAUAUUUAGCAACUUUAUUAUUUUUCAGGAAGGAUCAGUUUGAAAUUGUACGCAUAUAUGUAUUCAUCGUUCCCGUUUAAAUAUUGUAUUGCUCUGUGCAAUGCUUCGAAAAGAUUUCUGUAUAUCUCAAAUUUUUUAUCAACACUUCAGUUAUGCCGCUAUUUUUUUAUGCCAGACCUUUUGCAAUUUUAAAUUGCCUGUCAAAUUGUAAAUCUAAACCAUUCUCGAAUCUCCUUGAACAUACACACAAAAUUUCAUUAAAAUCGGUCCAUCCGUUUAGGAGCAGUUCAAAUGCAAACACACGGUCAGAAGAUUUAUAUAUAUAAAGAUAUGCGUUUUGAGCAAUGACCACAUUGUACAAAUGAAAACAAACAAAGAUGUCUGAUUUCUACGGGCUCAACUUUUAACACAUUUUGCUUUCUACGGACGGCAACUUUGGAAGGGAGGAGCGUUUUUCGCUGUUCCUGCUAUUAAGUUGAAAUGUCCUUAUUUCAAGUCAUCUGGGCUUGGAGUCGACGAAGUUCGAUCUCGUAUGUUUGGCGGAAUAAUCUCUUUUAUCUUCUGGAUAUGCUCGAUAGCAUUUACAUAAAUUUACAGCAUAGAUUAAUAAAGCUAAAGGUAUUACAAUAAGUAUUAGGUACAGUAUGAACUUUCCUGAGUUACAAUUAAUUUUCUGACCGUGAUUGAAAUAUACAUUAUUAUCUAAAUUAGUACUGUGAUUAAAUUGUAAAAGGUUUGGACUGUUAACACGUUGUCCGUUCCACAAAUGUUCUCCAUUAAUAAUUAUAUUUCCGUGAUUUAAUACAAUAAGUGGUCUAUUAUUUUAUUGAAUAACAUACAUUUUGCCUUAUUAUUUUCGAACAAUGGGAUGGUACUGUUGUCGGGAGACUCCUCUUUACAAAUAUUUAAUCCCAGAUAAUUUUUACAUUUGGAAGUUCUUUUGAAAUUCGCUUCACAUUUUGCAACUUGAGAGUCUUUGCCGUGCUAAAGGUACUAAGGGGGUAUUCUACUCUAGAAAUCAAAUUUUAGGCAGUUUUUUGAAUUUUAUUUAAAAAAAAAAAACCAAAAAUAUUUUUACUAUCCAUUUUUUAUGGUGUUUUUAUUGAUAUCUUAAGAAUACAGAAAAAAAAUUUUACAAACAAAUACUAAAAAUUAAAAUAAUUAGAGGGGGGAGAGACAGGUGUAGAAAAAAUGGCGCAUCCUGGUGGCAUUGAUCAGGACUCUCCUGGUGGUCUGAAAAAAAAAAUCAAAAGAAAUUCUUAAUCAUGCUGUUAUAGUCCCUACCUCAGGGAACAUGAAAAAAUUUUUUUUUGAAAAUGGCGACUGCCGGAAAAUAAAAAUCAUUUUUACGCUUUUUUUUUGAAAUUCCUAAUUUUUUUUAAUAUUAAAAACAAAGUAUUAAGGAUUAUAUAAAGAUAAAGGAUUAUAUAAAGAAGGUUCACACAAAAUUUCAAGUAAAUCGGUUGUAUAGAACUUGAGAUAAUGCCGGUACCGUGUAGAAAAAAGUAGUUUCGAGAAAAACGCGUUUAAAAAAGUGAGUCUAUCUACCUACCGGGUUAGGUACUGCGUCACUAAAGUAACUGUAGCUCUUAAAAUAAUUUUAAUUUUUAAAAAUCCUUUGGAGUAAAUGGAGUUUAGGGUCUAAACUUUUAAUAUAUGAAAAAAAAAUCGAAUUUUUCAAAAUUCUAGAGUAGAAUACCCCUUUAAGUUAUAUAAUUUACAACGGUUACUUCUUACGAGAUAUUUGUAUAUUGUAAUUAUGGCAUCUUUGUACAUGCAUAUGUACAGAAUAUUACAAUAUUCUAAAAUAUUAAUUAUGGGUGUGUUAAACUCUUCUAUAGACAAAAUUUCUUGAAUGCUUUGAGGUUUAGAGUACCAGAAUAAAAGUUUCCUGUUUUAGCAAAAUUAAUGUUACUUGUGAUUGCUUCUAAUUCCUCGUAAACUUCUGUAAUAAUUAAUUCUUCAGUAAUUGACUUUGGAUCUAAUGUUUCUAGUAUUUUUUCAAAUUGACUGUUAAUCUUCCGUUGCUGAUUAUUAUUUUCUGUCAACCGAUUGAGUCCUGUUUUGAUCUCUAUAAGGUCGUCAGAGUCAGUAGUACCGGUGACAAACUUGAGAUUAGAACCUAAAAAGUUUAAUGAACGUUGGAGUCUACGAUUAGAAGGUAUAAGCUAUGUCUUAAGUGCGUUUAUUUUAUUAAUAAGAAUUAUUUCUUCUUUGUUUUCUUCAGCAACGUAUUUGAAUUUCAUGGACCUAGAAUAAUUGACAAGCUUACAGAUAAGUCGUAUUUUCAAAUAGGUAGACCGGAUCGGUCUCUGUUAAAACAUACUUCUUGAGUUUAAUAUCUGCGAUUAGAUCGGAAUGGGAUACAACAAAUAAUAAAAAUAGAUUAAUUAAUACCGUGCCGGAUCGCACUGUGUGGCUUGUUUGCGAAUGCUUCACGUAUUGGUGUGAAAAGUCCGCUUGCAUAGGUACAGGUUUUGAUUGCUGUUGGCCAUUUCGCUGGAUGUAGCUACCAGAAUUAUGUUUCCUUCUCUCUUCAUACGUUGGUUGCCGUUGAGGGUUUACGCGAUAUGCUGGAAUCAGUUGACGAUCAUUCCUUUGAUAUGGAAGGCGGUCUGACCUUCAUAUCUCGAAUUAUGUCGACGGGGAACAGUGCUCUCGGAGUGUUGAUCGUGAUUGUCAUGGUAGAUGGUGCGGAUGGCAUCAUCAUUCACGUCUGAUAAUCUUUUUUCCAUUGUUUCUAUUUUUUGUUGAAUCAUUGUUAAGGCUUUACUUCCUUGCUUUUUCUUCAUCAUUAUUUCUUUCAGGACAUGUAGUGGUCGUUUAACCGAAUAGGUAUAACCCAAGAGGUUGAUUAUAGCAUAGAAAUUAAGUUGAGUUCCGUUAACUGAUAUAACUUUAGAAGUGGCUCCUGUUAUUUUUGCUUUAAUUAUGCAUACACAAUUGUAAUACUCAGAGCUGUAUAUAAAUUCUUUUAUAUUCUCCAUCUGUGUCCACACCUGAAUGCGGCAAAGGUUAUAUUCGCCCUCUGCUCCGUCAAAUGUUGGUAGGCAUUUAAAAAUGUCUGUAUUUAUUUGGCUUGCCUGUGUGUUUUGUGGUUUUAGAGCAGCCAUGGUUGGUACCGUGGUCAUCGAAAACUGUGAUUGCGUCCUUAAUGCAUCGAAGUCGGUUUUUAACGAAUUGAGUUGAGCCGUAAGGACAUCAGUGCAUGCUUUGAAUGUUGCUGCUUCAGUUAUAUUAAUGUUUUUUGCUUCCAGUCGGAAUAUAUUUAAUUCUUUGUUUUCAUCAAAGGCUGAGUUAUUGCUGUUUGAUCGAGGUGUAAACAUUUAAUCUUUCGUUGUUGUUGUAUUCAGCGCUGUCCGCUUUUGCAGAAUCUGCUUUGAAUCGUUUGCUACUUUUUCACGCACUUUGUAGUGGAAGUCCUACUUCCCUUGGUAUUUUAAUGUUAUCCUUCUUUAGGAUCGCGGAGUUCCUGUCUUUUCAAGGAUGUCUCCUGGCUUUUUUGAUAGCCAAAAUGAUUUGAUAGUAAAAAUUUGCUACCCCGUUUGAGCCCCCAGUUAAUUACAAUUGAAUCAAGUUAUUGUAUCUUUUGCACCGUCAGGGCAAGUUCUCUUAUUAAUACAAAAACUAAGACUAGCUACAUUUUGAUAAUGAUACUGCUAUUUAUACUACUUUAUGGUACUAGUUUUUAUUUGCUAUCUGCUAUGCUAUUUGAAGAUAGACACACUAUCUGCGGUCGAUUAUUUGUCGUUACAAACAGCCCCGAGAGGAUGGCAUGUAAGAGAUAACACUCGUUAUGUGUGAUACCAUUUCUAUUUCACACCAUGUGUGCAACAUAAAUGGGAAUUGCUUAUCACUAUUUGUUUAUGAGUGGCUCUGCAUAAACAAGAGAUGUUUUUGUUAUUUCGUUUAAUGAAACAUUCCUUAACUCGCUCGUAAAACACGAAGGUAGGUUAGGUUAGGUUAGGUAAGAUGGCUGAUCAGAGAUCACACGUAGACUAAUAAUGUAGUUCUUUGUGAUGCCAUUGAAAAAGAACUCCCGUGUUCGGACUUACACAUUGGCGAAGCGCUUUGUAGCCAAUACAUAGUUACACAGACGCUUAACUUCAACACCCACCAGUACGGUGGGAUGGCCAAAGUCUUGACCUCCCAAACGCGGGACAGUCAAGCAGGAAGUGCUGGCGUGUUUCUACCGCAUCUUCUUCCAAAAAACUUCUACAGUCGGCAUCCGGUAAGAUACCCAUUCUUACCGCAUGUAAGCCAAUAGGACAGUGGACUGUUAAGAGUCCCACUAAUAAUGAGAGGUUAGCCUUGCUGAGGGCUAAAAGAUCAUUAGAUCUUCUGCGGUCUAUCCGGGGCCGGAAAGCUUUUGCAACCACACAAGUACCGAUGCUGGCACAGCGUUGGACGAGCAUCCGCGUGGCCCAGCUAUCUAGUAGUAGAAUUAGUUGUGCUAACUCAUCAGCUUUGCAAUUACCUGCAAUUCCGCUGUGGCCCGGCACCCAUAUCAGUCUAACCACAAAAACUCUAGCUGCUAGAGAUAGCGACGUUAGACAUUCUUCGACCAGCCCUGAAUGCACUGUGAAUGAGUUCAUGGCUAGUAUUGCCGCUCUACUAUCUGAGUGAAUGGUCACUUCUCUGAAGGUGGAUGCACUCCGUAGUAGCAAAUCUGCUGCUACCUUGAUGGGCGCGACCUCAGCCUGGAAUGCACUACAGUAGUCGGGAAGUCUGAAACAGGAGUUGACUGAGAGUUCCCGACAGUAGACCCUUCCCCCAACCUUCCCCCCAAGCUUUGACCCGUCCAUGAACAAUCUUGCUGCCCCUCUCCUCCAACGGCUUCUUCCCACCCAUGUCCGCCUCGUCGGUAAUAUGGGCAGAGAAGGAGCCGCCAAAGUUCGGUAUAGCGACUCCAUGAUCCAGAUGAUCCGGUAUGCAGUCAAAGUUUUGUGAGGAUAUCCGAAUGUCCAGAUACGCUCAUUCGUUAGUUGACUGUCGACGCGGAUAGACAUGCGUGCGCAUCGUUAUGAUUUAUUAGUGUAUUUUUCGGUGAUUUUCUGCGAUUCCCUUUUGUGCGUGUAUUUGUUUACGCGUUUUAGUUGGCACCGUUACUGCCUGGCGCGUGUGCAUAGCGGUCGUUGAAAUUGUUUGUGCGAUUGUAGGUACGAGGGUUAGUGACCGCGAGCGUUUUUGUGCGGGUACACAUUUUUGUGCUUUUUUGGUGCAUUUUUGUGUACAAAAUCGUCGCGAUUACUUACCGUAAUAUUUAAUUAUUACUAUAUUAUAUACGGACAACGUGGUCAUCCACUUUGUUAUUGGCGGAAGCUUCGCACGGUUCCAGUGUAGCUCCGUGUUGUUGGCAUUCUUGCUGACUGGACUGCCUGCCAGUAGUACUGUGCUGAGCAUCUAGCGUUUGGUCGGCUCACUGUCAGAGGUGCCUGGACAGGAUUGCCCAAAGCAAGCGUCUGUCCAGCGUUGGAAUUUGCGACUCCUGUGUGGACCAACCGAUUCGGUUCAGCGCCACAUCGGUCGACUCCGGACCGUUACGGGGAUAUUGUCCGUCCGACGGCCAAUCUAUUGGCCUUCAUCCGACCACUGGUUGGGGUUGUGGGCUGUUCCACUGCGAGCACGCGAUAAUCAACCGCUUGGGUGGUCGCUGUUAUUGACCGGGCCUUUACGUGAGUCGCAGUUUUCAGCGCGUUCGGAUGCAGGUACCUGGAGAGCAUUUGCUCCAGAAUCUUUCUAUCCGUGAGCCAUCUGCGCUGGUGGUACGCCAGCGGAUCAGUUCGACUGAGAGGUUAGUUGGGAAGCGAGAUGCCUCCAGGACGGAAGAGGAGGACGAAGGCCCUCGCUGGAAGCGGAGAAUCCGCCGCUUCAACAGUCGUGGAUGAUUCCACGUCGGGUGGUGAGAGUGAAGUGACGGGAACGACGGAAGUAAGGUCUCCACCGCGGAGCAAGGCGCGUUUGGGGUCGCCGCGUAAAGAGGGCGGAAGCGAAUGAAGGAGCGGGAGUGCCAGCGUGGCCACCACUGGGAAAACGGUUGCCCAACCAUCAAAGACGGUUGGCAAAGAAACGUGUGCCGGGCGUGCCAAAGAGGCCGGAAAUAAGCGGGAUUAUUCGCGGGGAGCAGUUGUUGCUGGAGUGGGGCAGUCAGCCAUGUUGCGGCAGCCAAAAGAAUAACUGGGGAGAUCAACGAGCUGGUCUUUGAGGCCAAGAGCUUUGAUAGGGGGACUACGAAGGGGCUGGUGGAGCUUGCCUCAAAAUAUGAGGCGCUCUUGAUGACGGUUAUUACCGAGAAUGCCCAUCUUCGCGGUCAGGUAGAUGCCCUUAGGGGAAGUUGCGGGGGACCCUAUUCGACGCCGAGCAGGUCAAUGCCGGCUCCGUCGGCACCGAUGCCUGCGCGACCAGAACCUGUACGGGAAACAAUCGCACCGGUGACGGCGAAGCCUGUGGAGACCUGGUCGGUCGUGGUCAGGAGUAAGGGGCCUGCAACAUCCUCUAAAGCACCCCAUUGCCACAACUGUGAGUUUAAGGGUAGGCCAGUUAGGCAUCUAAUGAUGUCAGCUGUCUGCCCUAUAUAUUGUGGCAUUGUUGAGCGCGCCCUCGCCAGACACUGAUGGGUGGGAUCGUCCAGCUUAACUGUCAGGGCUCCUAUGCCGUGAUGUGUGAGUUGGGGGGUUGUAUGGUUGAGGGUGGGUGCGGUAUUGCUCUACUCCAAGAGCCCUAUGCCACCAAUGGUGUGGUUCGGGGUCUUCCUGGGGGUUUUAGGGUCUUCACUGACCUUAGAGCUAACGCCGCAAUACGGGCUGGAUGCGAAUGCCUCGUCCUCGAUGUGGUUUAGUAAGGUAUCCCGGCAUUCGUCUGGAUACCAAAGCCACAGUCGGUGACACUCUGUUAUCGUCGUGGAGAGAGCAUGCGGGGGUUCUGUUAGGUGCGUUCUUUCCUAGGUCGGAGGUGCAGGUACCUCAAGCACAAGAGGUGCCUGUCCCUCCAUUAGAUGAUGGGGAGUUGGGGUACGCCUUUGGCCUGGUUAGGUCUAAACGGUCCCUAGGUUUUGAUGGUUUGAACGGAGAGAUGUGUAAAAGUUUAUGGAAGUUCAUCCCGGAAUACCUGGAGGCCAUUUAUAAUAAGUGCGUCUGGGAGGGAUACUUUCCACGCGAGUUUUAGUUGUUCGAGCGGAGGAAUAAAAAUGCCGUCGAUGUUACUUCUGUGACAUUAUACUUUAUUCUCCUCCUUUUUCAAAUUAUGUUCUGCUUAUUUAACUACUAAAGUGAUUACAAUUUUCUUAAUCUAUUUCUUUGUUUUUUUUUUAUUUUCUUAUGAAAUACAAUAUUUGUUAAAUAUAAUAUUACUUUCUAGUGAAUGCAAACAACCAUGAUUGUGUGGUUUACCCGAUAGUGUCUGGGUUAUCAUUACAGUCAAACAUAAGGACCAAAACAUGUUUGUACGCAUUUGCAUUAUGUUCUUUAUCUCUACUUGUUAUCUUAUUUUUUUGUAAUGUUUACUUGUUUUUCUUUAAUCUUUUAUUUUGUCCCAUUUACAAUAUUUUGUUGUGUGGUGGCUGGUUGAGAUGAUAGUGUACACAUAACUCGCGAGUGGAAAAGUGCUAGGGUUGUUCCUCUCCUGAAGUCCCCCGAUACGAGUAAGAUCAGGAUGUCGUUAGGGAGAAUGUUAACAAGUAUGUCCUUGGCAUAUUUGUUGACUUCAAGGGGGCGUUUGACUACCUAAGCUGGGAUCGAGUGGUGCAACGGCUAGAGGAGCUUGGCUGUUCGGAAGUUACUCUUUGGCGGAGUUAUUUUUCGGACGGAAAGGCCUCUCUUGUCUGCAUGAAUGGGACUGUGAAGAUUGGAACCUUAUGAUGGAUACUCUGCUUGGGCAGCUCGAGCCACUAUGUAAAUGUUGUGCGUAUGCGGACGACCUUCUUCUUAUGGUUGAAGGUCGCUCGAGGUCCGAAUUAGAACAGGCGGGAGGCGAUCUCUUCUUCUUAGUUCGCGUAGACACCGCUUACGCGAUUAUAACCGAGUUAAAAACCGCGCGCCAGUCGUUUCUUCUUUUCGCAACGUGGUGCCAAUUGGAUAUUCCAAGCGAAGCCAGGUCCUUCUCCACUUGGUCAUUCCAAUGGAGUGGAGGUCUUCCUCUGCUUCGACCGGUGGGUACUGCGUCGAAUAUUUUCAGAGCGGACAACAUGACAUAGUCAGCGUAGCCGCUGUCUUUUAAUUUGCUGAACUAUGUCAAUGUCGUCGUAUAUCUCGUACAGUUCAUCGUUCCAUCGAAUGCGAUAUUCGCCGUGGCCAACGCGCAAAGGACCAUAAAUCUUUCGCAGAACUUUUCUCUCGAAAACUCGCAACGUCGACUCAUCCGUUGUUGACAUCGUCCAAGCCUCUGCACCAUAUAGCAGGACGGGAAUUAUGAGUGACUUGUUUGGUUUUUGUUUGUCGAGGGAGACUUUGCUUCUCAAUUGCCUACUCAGUCCGAAGUAGCACCUGCUGGCAAGAGUUAUCCUGCUUUGGAUUUCUAGGCUGACAUUGUUGGUGUUGUUUACGCUGGUUUCAAGAUAGACGAAAUUAUCUACAACUUCAAAGUUAUGACCGUCAAGAGUGACGUGAGUGCCAAGUCGCGAGUGCGACGACUGUUUGUUUGAUGAUAGGAGAUAUUUCGUCUUGCCCUCGUUCAGUGCCAGACCCAUUUAUUUUGCUUCCUUGUCCUUGAGGGCGAUGAUAUCAAUAUCAUCGGCAUACGCCAGCAGUUGUACACUCUUACAGAAGAUGGUACCUUCUCUGUUGAGUUCUGCAGCUAGAACUAUCUUCUGCAGAAGCAGGUUGAAAAAGUCGCACGAUAUGGAAUCGCCUUGUUUAAAACCUCGUUUGGUAUCGAACGGCUCGGAGAGUUCCUCCCCGAUUCUGACGGAGCUUUUCGUGUUGCUCAACGUCAGCUUACACAACCGUAUUAGUUUUGCGGGGAUAUCAAAUUCAGACAUCGCGGCAUAAAGGCAGCUCCUUUUCGUGCUGUCGAAAGCAGCUUCGAAAUCGACGAAGAGGUGGUGUGUGUCGAUUCUCCUUUCACGGGUCCUUUUCAAGAUUUGGCGCAUGGUGAAUAUCUGGUCGGUUGUUGAUUUGCCAGGUCUAAGGCCACACUGAUAAGGUCCAAUCAGUUUGUUGACGGUGGGCUUUAAUCUUUCACACAAUACGCUCGAUAGAACUUUAUAUGCGAUGUUGAGGAGGCUAAUCUCACGGUAGUUGGCGCAGAGUGUGGGGUCUCCUUUUUUAUGGAUUGGGCAGAGCACACUUACAUUCCAAUCGUUGGGCAUGCUUUCGUCCGACCAUUUUUUACAAAGAAGCUGAUGCAUGCUCCUUAUCAGUUCUUCGCCGCCGUGUUUGAAUAGCUCGGCCGGCAAUCCGUCGGCCUCUGCCGCUUUGUUGUUCUUCAGGCGGACAAUUGCUAUUCGAACUUCUUCAUGGCUGGAGAAGUGUUCCCUCCAUAAUCUAAGUAUGCUCUGGGCAUCGGUGGCUAGAUCACCUUUGGGGUUCUACAAGAGUAUGCUCCGGUCUUGAAACUUUCCGUAAGCCGCCGCAUUUUUUCGUAGAAUUUUCGAGCAUUACCCCUGUCGGCCAGCUUAUCAAGCUCUUCGUACUCACGCAUUUCAGCCUCUUUCUUCUUCUGACUGCAAAUGCGUCUCGCUUCCCUCUUCAACCCUCGGUAUCUAUCCUCGGUUGAAGAAGGAAGCGAGACGUAUUUGCAGAAAGAAAAGAAAGAGGCCGAAAUGCGUGAGUAUGAAGAGUCUGAUCAGCUGGCCGACAGGGGUACUGCUCGAAAAUUCUACGAAAAAAUGCGGCGGCUUACAGAAGGUUUCAAGACCGGAGCAUACUCCUGUAGAACCCCCAAAGGUGAUCUAGCCACCGAUGCCCAGAGCAUACUUAGAUUAUGGAGGGAACACUUAUCCAGCCUGCUGAAUGGCAGUGAGCACAUAACACCGGGAGAAGACGAACCCGAUUCCCCAAUCGAUGACGAUGGAGCAGACGUUCCAUUACCCGGCCAUGAAGAAGUUCGAAUAGCAGUUGCCCGCCUGAAGAACAACAAAGCGGCAGGGGCCGACGGAUUGCCGGCCGAACUAUUCAAACACGGCGGCGAAAAACUGAUAAGGAGCAUGCAUCAGCUUCUUUGUAAAAUAUGGUCGGACGAAAGCAUGCCCAACGAUUGGAACUUAAGUGUGCUAUGCCCAAUCCAUAAAAAAGGAGACCCCACAAUCUGCGCCAACUACUGUGGGAUAAGCCUCCUCAACAUCGCGUACAAGGUUCUAUCGAGCGUAUUGUGUGAAAGAUUAAAGCCCACCGUCAACAAACUGAUUGGACCUUAUCAGUGUGGCUUCAGACCUGGUAAAUCAACAACCGACCAGAUAUUCACCAUGCACCAAAUCUUGGAAAAAACCCGUGAAAGGAGAAUCGACACUCACCACCUAUUCGUCGAUUUCAAAGCUGCUUUCGGCAGCACGAAAAGGAGCUGCCUUUAUGCCGCGAUGUCUGAAUUUGGUAUCCCCGCAAAACUAAUACGGCUGUGUAAACUGACGUCGAGCAACACGAAAAGCUCCGUCAGGAUCGGGAAGGACCUCUCCGAGCCGUUCGAUACCAAACGAGGUUUCAGACAAGGCGACUCCCUAUCGUGCGACUUUUUCAAUCUGCUGCUGGAGAAAAUUAUUUGAGCUGCAGAACUGAAUCGAGCAGGUACAAUCUUUUAUAAGAGUGUACAGCUGCUGGCGUAUGCCGAUGAUAUUGAUAUCAUCGGUCUCAACACCCGCGCCGUUAGUUCUGCUUUCUCCAGACUGAACAAGGAAGCAACGCAAAUGGGUCUGGCACUGAACGAGGGCAAGACGAAAUAUCUCCUGUCAUCAAACAAACAGUUGUCGCACUCGCGACUUGGCUCUCACGUCACUGUUGACAGUCAUAACUUUGAAGUUGUAGAUAAUUUCGUCUAUCUUGGAACCAGCGUAAACACCACCAACAAUGUCAACUUAGAAAUCCAACGCAGGAUUACUCUUGCCAACAGGUGCUACUUCGGACUGAGUAGGCAAUUGAAAAGUAAAGUCCUCUCUCGACGAACAAAAACCCAACUCUGUAAGUCGCUCAAAAUUCCCGUCCUGCUAUAUGGUGCAGAGGCUUGGACGAUGACAACAACCGAUGAGUCGACGCUGCGAGUUUUCGAGAGAAAAGUUCUGCGAAAGAUUUAUGGUCCUUUGCGCGUUGGCCACGGCGAAUAUCGCAUUCGAUGGAACGAUGAACUGUACGAUAUAUACGACGACAUUGACAUAGUUCAGCGAAUUAAAAGACAGCGGCUAUGCUGGCUAGAUCAUGUUGUCCGGAUGGAUGAAAACACUCCAGCUCUGAAAGUAUUCGACGCAGUACCCGCCGCGGGAAGCAGAGGAAGGGGAAGACCUCCACUCUGGUGGAAGGACCAAGUGGAGAAGGACCUGGCCUCGCUUGGAAUAUCCAAUUGGCGCCACGUAGCGAAGAGAAGAAACGACUGGCGCGCUGUUGUUGGCUCGGUUAUAAUCGCGUUAGCGGUGUCUACGCCAGUAAAGAGGAAGAAGAAUAUUUGAAUACUUAUAUUUGCGGUGUUAUCACUUUUUCCUUCUCAUACAAAUUUCAGAAAUAUAUUCAAUUUUUAAGUUUUUGCCUGUGUCGCGAAAAAUCGCUUGUAGGCAAAGGCAUGCCUGGGAGAGGUGUAUGGAAUUGGUUUAAUGAAUGAAUCGAAUUUGCUUCUUGAAAGUGCGUUUGCGUUCAUGAAUGAAAAUUUUGUUGUUGUGUAAUUUACUAUACAUUUUGAUGUCGGAAAUUUGGCUGCCAUAUUGAUUUCUGAUGCUAUUUGAGACGAUUGUUGUUUUUGUAGAACAAUAUUUGUAAUUUUUUCGGGUGGCAUAUCUAUGUACAUGUGGACGCAUAUAAUUAUGUACAUAUAUUGUGUAUGCAUUAUUUGUGUAGCAAUGUCAUACGCACAUACAGUAUGUGUGUAAAUUAUGUUGUUCCUCUGACGAUUAUGUUAUUGGCCUUUCAGAGUCAAAUAAGAAGACAAUGUUGUAACGGCGAGGCCGGAGCAAGUACGUUUAGUAUAGAUCAAAUACAAACUGGACUUAAUAUUGCUCUCCAAAAAUAUUAUUGAACCUAAAAUCAUAAGUGUGCGUUAGUAUAUCCGGCAAGCUGAAUCAGAAUACGCCAACACAGUCGCUUGCGACAUAGGCGAGUGUCGGGUUACCGCUGCUGACCACAGUGGCUGCGCAAGGAACUUAUGUGUCAGCAGAAUGUUGCCAUGUAAACCAAGUGCAUUGCAUCACUCUUGCAUUUCACAAACAAAAUGUGCAAUUCUUACGUUUUAACUACUCCCCUCUCAAGCUCAUGACCGUCCCCGGUUGUUUUGUAGCUGUUGAUGGCCUUCAGUACUUUCUUCGACGGUUGUCUUCCUUUUAUGAUUUGCCAAGCGAUGAUAAAGCCUAUGCCAACAACACAGAGUGAUGCCUGCUGCAAAUCAAAUCUUAUGUGAUCUGUCCUCCAAUUCGUCUUUGAAAUUUUGAAUGACGUCCAAAUUAUAGUUAUUCAUCCUCUGGAGUUUGGGCAUGCUUAGCACUGGAUCGUGUCUGAUGAUGUUGGGUAGAGGUGACUCUGCUACGCCUGGCGAUCUGUUUAAAACUUUGAGUCGAUUUACAUAUCUUGUGCCGUUGAUUGUGGCAGAGAGAGAGAAAAGUGACGAGAUGUGUCCCGUUUGUAGUAAUCUCCGGACCAUCGUAUGUGCUAACUUUCGCAGUGCUUGCUUUGAUAAUAAUAAUGCCGUCAUCGACUUGUAUUAUGGAUUUUAGGUGGCUUAUCUGAGAGCGGCAAAGGGCUGUGUCUCCGGCAUGUAAUGCUCGUGCGCAGGUGUCUUGCGCUGCUAGUUUACAGACGGCGGCAUAGAUGGUCAUUACGCAUUCAUUUACCGCUAGUACGUGAUCGUUGCAUUCAGCUUGCAGCUCUAGUGUGACGUGUUGGUGUGCCACCGGGAAGAUGGUGAUUUUCUUUCAGAUAACCUUGACCCUAGGAUACUCUAUUAAUAUAUGGGCAAUAGUCUCGGACUGGAUGACCUUAACUUUAAAUGCUUCGGUUAGGCAAACUAUGGGAAUUCCGACAGGAUGUUCAUUCAUAAUUGAUUUCGAAUCAUCAUGGUCAAAAAUAGUGGGAUUUAUUAUAUCCGCCUAAGCUAGCGUAAUUGUGAGUAUCAAGUUCGAUAUUUGAUCUAUUAAUAUUAUAUUUCUUGCUAGAAGUGUUUCAUACAAAUGUAGUGUGUCAAUCAAUUCAUAUUUUUUAGCUUUAAUUAUUUCAUUCACCGUAUCAGUAAGUUUAUUAAUUUAUAUCUGUGUUUGUGUAUUAAUAACUACCUGCCUAUUGCUUGCAUCAAUUAAAUUGGAUUCGGCCCAAACUUCUGUGCAAAGGGGUGUCAACUUAUUUCCUCAUCUUCUGUUAUGUGUUACAAAAACGUGUUCGCCUACCUCAAAUACCCCGUUUUGUCUAUUAGGGUUGGAUCUUUCGUUAUCGUGCUGGGCUUUUGCAAAUUUAUGUUUGCUGGCCUGCAUAUGUUCGCUGGACGCUGAUUUUUUUAGCACCAAAUCAUGUUGUAUACUGCUCCCUAGAAGUAAUUUUGCAAUUUACCUAGAGCCCCAACAAUAGCUAACAGUUCUCGCUCAUUCGUGGCGUAGUGUGUCUCGCUUUUCUUUAGCGGGCGUUAAACCAUGGAAAUGGGUCUACCCCUUUGGGACAGGAUUGCAUCAAUGCCAUCUAUGGAGGCGUCAGUAGUUAGAUCAAAGGGCUGCCUGAAAACUGGAUACAUGAGUAUGACAUCUUCUGAUGCCAGGAUAUUCCCCAGUCUUUCGAAUGCAUUACCUUGAGUUUCGUCAAACUCGCUCGAGUCCUUUUUGGACAUAUGCUUGCUCACCGAACCAUUUUCUCCUUUGAGAAUGUUGGUUAAGGGUCUUGCUAUUGCUGAGAAGUCCUUAAUAAAACCCCUACAGUAACUAGCUAAAGCAAAAAAAAAAAAACGACCGUAGGCUGAAUCGAUUUUUCGGACGUUCUGGGUCACUAGAAAGCCCAAGAAUUCGACGCUCUUUUUAAAGAACUUAGUUUUUUCUUGCGCUGCUCUCAUGUUUGCAUCAGCCAAGCAUUUUAAGAGCGUAUCAAUAUGUUGCGCCUGGUCAGUUUCGUUUUCUGAAAAGUUUGUUACGUCAUCUACAUAAACAUAACAUAUCUUUAUGUGCUUCUUCAGGAUGUCAUCGAUGGCUAUUUGAAAAAUGCUUCCGGUGAAAUAUCUUCCUAGGUUCGCUAGGAUCAUUGGGAUACUUGGCAUUGGGUAGCGGUCGGCUAUAGUUUGUUCAUUUAGCUUCCUAUAGUCGAUUACCAACCGUUUAUUUCGGUUUCCAUUGCUGUCAAGGCCUUUUUGGUCAACAACCCAGACUGGGCUGCUGUAUGGGGACUUUAAUGGUCUAACGAUACCAUCUUUAAGUAACUGUUUGAUUUCGUUGAUUACAAAAUCUGAAACUCCCAUAGGGUAAGGGUAUAGUUUCGACUAUACACUUUUAUUCUUUUCAGUAUCAUGCUUUUGAAUUCCUUUUUGAUGGAUGUAGGCACUAUUAUGCCAUCCACAUCUGUGAAGUUUAUUCUGUCACAGUAAUGAUACUACAAUUUCUCGGAUUGGUUAUUGUUGAUAUGUAAGUUCAACGCUAUUUCUGCUUGCGUUAACAAGUCGAAUCCUAUAAAUGCAUCAAAUGAGCUAAGUGUGUCUAGCACGAAGAAUGGGGAGAUUUGGCCAAAACUUUUCAUAAGGCACUUACUAGUUACUUUGCUCGAACCAUGUAUCGAGCUUUCGGUGAAAGGGCUUUCGACAGGAAUUACUUCUUGUAGCUCUUUUAUGGACUUAAUAUAAUUUUUUGCCGCCCCUGUGUCAAUUAAUAUUUUUAUAUUUUUCCCACCGAGCUGUCGCUUGAUAUAUGGCAGCUGGGAGCGUUCUCUAAAAAAUGCAAUGAGUCAUUGUCGCAUGAUUCGCUAUCGUCUUCGAUUUCGAUUACAGCGGCUUCCGCGGGCUUUUGAUAAUAUUCCGAUUUCGGAGCGCUCUGAACAAUAUUGUUCAAUCGCUGCCGCAUUGGUCCUGUUGCCCUAUCUGACUUAUUGUACAAUUUUUGGACCUGUUCGCCACUAGUUUGGUGCUUUGGAGGAGUGGUAGCCUGCCUAAACUGGUCUUCUUUUUUGUUCCUAUCUUGAUGGCUGUUGUUACCCUGCUGCCUUUUAACAAAAUGGGGGUUCCUCUUACCACCACGUCCAUCUUUAUAGUUUCUGCCUUGUCUCGCGAGCGGUCGAUUUCUAUUAUUUUAGCGCUAUUGCAGACGCUAAAUCUUUUGGCUGUGCCGGAAAAACAAUAGCCUUAAGGUACUUUUUCAAUUCAGAAAUGAAGGCGUGGAGUGCAUCUGCCCUGACCUCAUCGUUAAGCUUUGUAGUCUGCUCUGCCUCGUGUGAUUAAAAUCUUGUUUGUAACUAGGGUCAACUUCCUUUUGACCUCAUCAUAAUAUUCCAUGACGUUAAAUUCCCCUUGCCUCAAUAGUCGUAGCGAAGUUUUAUCUGCGUAUGAGCAAUCUAGCCGAGUUAUGAUUGCAUCGAAAUUAAGUACUGUGUUGUGAGACACUAGAACUGGUCUAGCUGCACCCCUUACUUUAUUUCUGAUGAUUGUUACCGCUUGGUAAUGCGUGCAGCUUCCGUUAAAUGGUUUAAAAAGCUCGUACGCGUCUACGUCCAUGCUACGUACUCUUUACACCCCCGCUAAACUCGGGAAUUUACUUAAUUAUAUCGAGAGGAAUAUCGCACCUGAUUUCUGGAUUUACUUAAAUUCUUUUCUUCCACCUGUGCCGCUUGAACACACAAAUUGUUAACUUUUGUGCUCUUUUCAAUAAGCUGUGCCUGAAAUCUUUGUUCUUGCUGCGCCAAUGAACAACAGCUGACAGCGAUCUGCACUAGCUGAUUAAUAUUCAUGUCGCUUUGUGUGUGGCUAUCGCUAACUUCUACGUUCACUUAAUAGUUGCUUUCUCUGUGUCCCGCUCUGUUUCACUGUCUAAUAUUUUCAGUUGCUUCUAACAGGCUCAUAUGCGCUAUUAUAUUUCACCGAAAUUUUAUAUUGUCGCGAAAUAUAUAUGAACCGCUUAAGUAAGAAGAACUUAUGUAAAUAUUUUAUGUUAUAUUUUUUAUAUACUUUUUUUAGAAUAACUUGUGGUAAACAUAUCACACAGCGGUUUAGUUACAAUUUUAGUAUGAUUUAAAAAAAAAAUUGUAAUGAACUUACAUAUAACGAGACAUUCCUAAUUCUUGUUUGUUGGGCGGCAAUUGUGUUGUUCCUCUGACGAUCAAGUUAUUGUCCUUUCACGGUCAAUAAGAAUGCAAUUUUGUAACGGAAUUAUGUUAUGUUACGAUUAUGUUACUGUCAGAGUCAAAUAAGAAAGCAAUGUUGUAUCGGCAAGUCCGGAGCAAGUACGUUAUUUAUAGAUCAAAUACAAUACUUAAUAUUGAACUCUAAAAAUAUUAUUGAACUUAAAAUCAUAAGUGUGCGUUACUAUAUCCGGCAAACUUAAUCAGCAUACGCCAACACAGUCGCUUGCGACAUAGGCAAGUGUCGGGUUACCGCUGCUGGCCGAAGUGGCUGGGCAACGAACUUAUGCGUCAGCAGAAUGUUGCAAUGUAAACAAAGUGGAGAAUGCUCAAUGCUCAGUUCUUUUCACUCAUUUCUGUUAAAAUUUCUCCUUCCGAGACGAUAGUGGUAAAAUCCACUAAUAUAAAAUUCAUAGCUCCUAACAGUUCACACGCUUGUCCGCAAUUGAACCUUCUCUAUAAUAGACGUUCUCUGACUAGUGUUUCACUAGUUUUUUUACGACUUUCGGCUGGCAGAGUAUGUUCAAAUAUAUUGAUCUAUAUCUAUACAUGCAUAUGUACAUAAACAGUCAUUUGCAUUCACAUGCAAUGCACUUACAAUGAUAUUAUAAAAAAUGCAUAUAUGAAUUGUAAGCUAAAUGGGUAAACACAAGGAAAAUAUCAAAAUAAAAUCAAUGAAUAAAUUCUCACUCAAUGAAACUUUUUCGUUGCCUCCAAGGGUAAAGGUUGUUAGAAACUACAUCGAGUAAUAACAUAUAUGUAUAUUUAUUUAUUGAAACUUGUUUAUAUAUGUAUAUGCCUGUGAAAUAAAAUAAAUUACUGGUGGAUACACUGCAAUAACAAUCACUCCAUUACUUGGUAAUCAUGUUUUCAAUAGAUAAAAGUAUUUAUUAAAAUCUAACCAAAAUAUUAUUAAUUUCACUAAAACUUUUUCGCUAUAAACUAAUACAUUAAGUCUAAAGCACGAAUUAGCAAAGUGUUUGUUAUUUGGUUUACAAUUCAUAUGCUUCAUUCUUAGUCGUUAUGUUUUAAGUUUUCAUUGUAGUACACAUUGCCCUACGGAAACCAUUGCUGUUGCUUGACAUUAUGGGAGGGUUGGUAGAAAAAUGGGGGGAAUCGAUCUGUUGUGACGCUCACAAAAUGCCGCAAAGUUUUUCUGGCACCACUUCAUCCAGUUAGAAAAUGGUUGAAAAUCCUACAAGCUUCUAAGGUUUUUCUUUUUCGUGACAUCGUUCAUCUUUAGGUGAAAUCUUAUAUCUCAGGGGUUUUUGACAAUUUUAUGACAUAAUUGGCGCAAAACAUUAAACUCACAACAUUACGUCGGAUUCUGAAAAUCUACACCAUUUGCCACAUUUUUAAAUUUCAUCUGAUACUUUUACUUUGCAAUACAUGUAUUCAAGUAAGUCAAGUAUAAAGUUGUUGGAAUAAAACCCUCAAACUUUUUUCAAAGCAUGCUAUCUUACGCUAUAAAUUUUCGACAUGUGAACAUUUUAAAGGCUUCAAGGAAUAUGUAGAUCCCAGUUCCUAUGGCCGAUCCAUUACCUGAAAUUCAGAAAGAAUCGUUACUUGACAAUAAUGUGCCCUUUCCCAAAACUUGGUAAAAUCGGAACAAUAUUACCCCAAGCCCCUAUUUACUUAGUAUGAAGGUUUUCGAACUUACGGUUGACGUGAUACCGUCUAUAUCGAUAACUAUACAAAUAGUCUUAAUGAAAUUAAGAUAGUUUUUUUCCUCAUAGUAACGACCCCUUGUGGCAAAAGUAACUAAAAGCGGGACAAUACAUCUCUUCAUCAUCUUUAUACCGUAUACUUUCUGAAUAAAUUUGACUCGGAUCGGCUCUUUACAUGCAUGAGUCCUUUGAAGCCAUUAAUAGUCACUCGCAAUAAGAAUUGGUGUAGAAUAAGGCUAUGGAAAAUUAAACUAAGCUUUGGCAUGCUUUUAUUAACUCGAAAAGAGCAUACUUCGAAGGCGAUAGUAGAGAUUUAUAUUAAAAUACGUGGUUUUUUAUUUUGUCAAUACGAUCUUAUUGGCCGAUUGCUUUUUAUUUUAUUUUAUUUUUUUUAAUUUUAUAAUAUUUAAACCAAUUACCCCAGCUUCCAUAAUGACUUUCAUUAUUCUAGCCUAUGCAUUUUUGCCGCAUAUAUCAGUUAUGCAAUAUGGCGCAAAUUGGAGAUUCCAAGCGAAGCCAGGUCUUUCUCUACCUGGUCUUUCCAAGGGAGUGGAGAUCUUCCUCUUUCUCUGCUUCUCCCGGUGGGUACUGUGUCGCAUACUUUCAGAGCUAGAGUGUUUUCGUUCAUUGACGUCGUGAACUAUGUAUGUCAGUGUCGUCGUAUAUUUCAUACAGCUCAUAGUUUCCUCAAUGCGAUGUUUGCCGUGGCCAAUGCGCAAAGUACCAUAAAUCUUCCGCAGAACCUUUCUCUUGAAAACUCCUAAAGUCGAAAUGAAAAUUAACACGGCGAUGUCCUACGAAAAGUAACAGAUUCCCUGUUUCGCUUACCAUAGGGGCGAAAAAUUCUUCGAUGCCACUGUUAACGAUGAAUUCUUCGAUGCCAAAGUCAACGAAUAAUUCUUCUAUGCCAAGGUCAAUAAUAGAAUAGAAAAAUUUGCAUAUUAAUUUUGCUUUAUUUAUGAAAGUGCAUGUAUAUAUUUCGUUAUGAAAAUAAGUAUUUAUAUAUAAAAAAGAGUGGUUUUCUGUUAAGUUUUGAUAUUUAAAGAAACGGCCUUUGGCGAGUCUGAAGCUUUUUUGAAAUUGGUGAACAUACUCCGAUUCGGUACUACUUUUACACAUUCUACAAAAAAUUUGAAACUGUACGUAAUUAUAAAUUUCCAUCACUGAUGAAAACACGAAAAAUUACCAAAUAGUAACGCAUUAAAGUGCUUCACUUUCUUCAUUUUUUCUUAUACUCUCGCAACAAAGUUGCUAAGAAGAGUAUUAUAGUUUUGUUCACAUAACGGUUGUUUGUAAGUCCUAAAACUAAAAGAGUCAGAUAUAGGGUUAUAUAUACCAAAGUGAUCAGGGUGACGAGUAGAGUUGAAAUCCGGAUGUCUGUCUGUCCGUCCGUCCGUCCAUGCAAGCUGUAACUUGAGUAAAAAUUGAAAUAUCAUGAUGAAACUUGGUACACGUAUUUCCUGGCUCCAUAAGAAGGUUAAGUUCGAAGAUGAAAUCGGCCCACUGCCACGCCCAAAAAAUGGCGAAAACCGAAAACCUAUAAAGUGUCAUAACUAAGACAUAAAUAAAGAUAUUAAAGUGAAAUUUGGCACAAAGGAUCGCAUUAGGGAGGGGCACCGCCCCCUACUAAGUUUUUUGUACAUAUUUCAGAAACUACUAUAGCUAUGUCAACCAAACUCUAUAGAGUCGUUUCCUUCAGGCAUUUCCAAAUACAGUUCAAAAAUGGAAGAAAUCGGAUAAUAACCACGCCCACAUCCCGUACAAAGGUUAUGUUGAAAAUCACUAAAAGUGCGUUAACCGACUAACAAAAAACGUCAGAAACACUAAAUUUUACGGAAGAAAUGGCAGAAGGAAGCUGCACCCAGGCUUUUUUUUUAAAUUGAAAAUGGGCUUGGCGUCGCCCACUUAUGGACCAAAAACCAUAUCUCAGGAACUACUAAUCUAAUUAAUUUUACAGCAAAAUAAAAAAAUAUGUAAAUGACGGAUAAUGAAAUCUCGAUUAUCACUUUAUCAUGCGAGAGUAUAAAAUGUUCAGUGACAUCCGAACUUAGCCCUUCCUUACUUGUUUAAUUAGUCUUCUCAUAUGCCUUUUCGAAAAUAUUCUUUUAUUUCUUUAUUCAAAGUUAAAACACAAAAUUAAAUAAAAUUUUUAAUUAAAACAGCAGCUCACCUAAACACAACCAAAUUUUCUUCAAAUGCUUUACGAUUUGACAAAAUGAUGGAAAUAUUUACUUAUAAAUUUUAUUUCAUCAACUUGUAUUAGUUUUUUACAUAUUGUAUUGCAACGUUUUUCAUGUUCUUUCUUGAUUGUAAAUAUGAACAGUGUAGAAUUUAGCUACAUAGCUUACUUUUAUGCAUUACUAAGUAUCGAAGAAUUCUACAUAGCAUUUCCUUCAAAGCAUUCUUCAAAGAAAAAUGUACUCGUAAGAGGUGAACCAUUAUCCCGCUGGGAAAUUACUACGACCGUAAAGGAACUCAUUCAGUAAUUAUGCAGAUUUUUAAAGAAUUAUAUUAUAUAUUCAGCUGAAUGCAUAUAAAUAUAAAUUGUUAUGUCUGACCAUAUAUACUCGUAAUAGUAAUUUUAGACGUAUUUAUCGCCGUCUUUAAACGCGCUUUCUGGAAAUUGUGGUUUUGAAGUCGGUUUUCAAGAUUUCUCGAGAACUACUUAACCGAUCUUCAUGAAAUUACACAGGUCUUUGAGGUACAAUUUCUGAAGACUUGGGCGAAGGUUUUAUUUCGAUUAAACUAUUUGAAAAAAUGUCGCGAAAUUUUAAUUUUUUGUAAAAAUGUCUGCUAAAAAUACAUUUUUCAGUUUUUUUCUUCGUUAAGGUUUUAACUAAAACACAUAUUUUUUCCCUUAAGAUAAUACUGUAAGGAGUUUCUAUAUAUUUUUUGUAUAAAAAAAGGCUGUUUUCCCCCAGGAAACCCAUGUAACCCCUUAAAUGGUGUUAUAAACUCAAAUAAGUAUGUAUAUUUAACUUCUUACCGCUGGUGGAGGAAAAAUAAAGACUUAUCUUGAGUGAGAAUUUAUUCAUUCUGAUUUUAUUUUGAUAUUCUAUUUUCAUUGCUUAUAUAGUAUUUUAGGAACUAUCUUAAAUAACUAAACAUAAGUGUACUUUUGUAUGCAUUGCUCACCAAAUAGGGUUGUUUUUAAUUAUACAAUUUAAUACAUGUGUGUGUGUGUGUUUAAUGUUACCUUAUCUGUAAAUUUAUGACUUGUGUCUCCAUUCAUUUUUAUUAUUAUUGAAUGCGCAUUGCAUGUAAAUGCAUGUUUCUGUUUAUGUACAUAAGUAUGUAUGAAUGUUCAAUAUAUUUGAUAAUAAAUAUUUACAUACUUUUAAUAGUAUUUCGGCUUUGCUGAUACUAAAUAAGUAAGCAUGUUAAUGAUAUUUGAACAAAUAGUUCUCUAUAAGAAUAGUGAACAUCUCACUAGUGCAGUUAGAAAAAUCUGGUCGAUUCUUCCUCUUACCUAUAUACUCUAUAUAAUGAUUACCGUUUUUCCACUUCACUCAUUUGAAGAUGUAUUUAAUUUUAGCGGACGCGAACUAAAAUUUAGCAACAAAUAUAAGUUUAAUUCUUUCGCAACAUGGGUUAAUACAAAAUUUUGCCAACAGCUGAAGGAAUUUUCCGGGCUUUAUUUCUUGCAAGUUGCUAGAAUGUAGAUGCAAACCACUCCGCCAAAAUUUCCGUUGUAGAUAGUAAGUCAAUUAAAGACAAUGUGUUCACCGGACAGAUAACGUAUACCGCUGAAGAUUUAAACCUUUUAAUUCUGGGUAUGCACAGCUCAAGAAACGAAG